rnacentral:rRNA from 1 species
GGGUAUGGUUACCCAUGAGAUUCACGCGCACGGGGGCGCCCGGCAAUUUAUGCUCUCCUCAUUAUCACGUGCCCAACCUACCCUCGGGAGGGGGACACCCCCGGGAAAUUGGGNCCAAUCCCCCAUAGGGGAAGGGCGCUGGAAAGCCCCUUCCCCGAAAGGACGGCGGCCGAUCCGUCGCCGUCCGCCCGAGGAUGGGGGCACGGCCCAUCAGGUAGUUGGCGGGUUAAAGGCCCGCCAAGCCGAAGACGGGUAGGGGCGGUGAGAGCCGCGAGCCCCGAGAUCGGCACUGAGACAAGGGCCGAGGCCCUACGGGGUGCAGCAGGCGCGAAUACUCCGCAAUGCGGGCAACCGCGACGGGGCUACCCCGAGUGCCGGGCGAAGAGCCCGGCUUUUGCCCGGUCUAAAACGCCGGGAGAAUAAGCGGGGGGCAAGUCUGGUGUCAGCCGCCGCGGUAAUACCAGCUCCGCGAGUGGUCGGGGUGUUUACUGGGCUUAAAGCGCCCGUAGCCGGCCCGGCAAGUCGCUCCUGAAAUCCCAGGGCUCAACCCUGGGGCGGGGGGCGAUACUGCCGGGCUACGGGGCGGAAGAGGCCGCCGGUACUCCGGGGGUAGGGGCGAAAUCCGUUAAUCCCCGGAGGACCACCAGUGGCGAAAGCGGGCGGCCAGAACGCGCCCGACGGUGAGGGGCGAAAGCCGGGGGAGCAAACCGGAUUAGAUACCCCUGUAGUCACGGCCGUAAACGAUGCGGGCUAGCUGUCGGCUGGGCUUAGGGCCCGGCCGGUGGCGAAGGGAAACCGUUAAGCCCGCCGCCUGGGGAGUACGGCCGCAAGGCUGAAACUUAAAGGAAUUGGCGGGGGGGCACCACAAGGGGUGAAGCUUGCGGCUUAAUUGGAGUCAACGCCGGAAACCUCACCCGGGGCGACAGCAGGAUGAAGGCCAGGCUAACGACCUUGCCGGACGAGCUGAGAGGAGGUGCAUGGCCGUCGUCAGCUCGUGCCGUGAGGUGUCCGGUUAAGUCCGGCAACGAGCGAGACCCCCACC